UUAAACAGAAGAAACAAGUGCUCUCUAUCUCUUCGAAAACCCUAACUCCGGGAGCAAAAGAUUUCUGUCACCUAGAAGAUUUCGAGAUUGAAAAUAUAGAUCAAUCGAUAGAGGAUGCAAUUCAGGCAAGUAAUUCCAAAAGGAUCGCCGAUAUUGUCUCCGAGACGGCAAAGCGGUCCAAAGAGUUUGCCGCCGAGGCCAAAGCCAUUGCUGACCACCGCAUUAAGUCCCUUACUGAGCAGAUCCCCUCCAUCACUCUUCUCAAUGCCUCAUCGCCUUUCUCCGAUGAUCCAAUUCCCGUAAAUCUUGAGAUAUUCGGUAUCACCGACGAUCUGAGACAGUUCGCUCGAGGUUUCACGGUCACAGCGUUUCGGAAUUUCCCCAUUCAUGAUGAUUCUAUAGUUUUUGAUGUGCCAACAGUAUUAAAUGAGAGGCAGAGGCAGAGUGAUAGCAGAAACAUGCAUUGAUCCUUGACAAGGACCUUAAUUUCAAAGGAAUUGAUCAUCUUGGCUAUCUUCGUCAAGCAUUUGAAGUUGGAUCCUUCAAUUAUUUUCUUGAAAGUGAGAUACUAAAUGGUUCUGAAUUUGAUGGGCACUGGUGGCUCCUGCAGGUUAAAAAUUCUGGCUUGGAUAGGCACAUUGAAACUAACUUAUGGGUAAUUAUGGCUGUAACUAUUUGCAGUUUGAUAAAACCAUAUCGUUUAGCCACAAUGGUCCAUUAAUGAUGUCAAUGAGCAUUGGUACAAUUGCAAGAAUGUUAAAAUGGUUGCCUGCUUCACUACACUUAAUAUGAAAGGUGAUACUCAUUCAUGCUUAAAUUUAUUAAAGGAUAUAUUGCGUUUUCAUGCUAUACUUCUUGACAAAAGUGAUUCUUGACAAAAAUGAGUAAUUCUUUUCAUUCUUAGUUAGUGUUAUUAUUUUUCUUAAGAUUGGUUUCAAUAAAGAUAAGAUGGCAUGAACAUGGGAAAAUCAUUAUGGAAUAUGAUUGAACUAAAUGAUUUGGUUAAUAGAUUUUGGUUUUGAUGUUGUUUGAUGUUUCUUCCUUCAGGAGGUGCAGUUUGAAAAUGAAGGGGACUAAUAAGAGGAACUGCAUAUCUUACAUAUUUUUUUUUUUUUUUAUAGUAUUUU